rnacentral:rRNA from 1 species
UCCUAGCCGUAAACGAUGCCCGCUUGGUGUUGGCUGGUUUGUAGGAAUCAGCCAGUACCGAAGGGAAACCAUUAAGCGGGCCACCUGGGGAGUACGGUCGCAAGGCUGAAACUUAAAGGAUUUGGCGGGGGAGUACAUAAGGGGUGCGGCGUGCGGUUCAAUCGGACUCAACACCGAGAAUCUCACCAGGGGAGACAGAGGAAUGAAGGUCAACCUACAGGGUUUACCAGACU